CGGAGACAGCGGAGGGGGCAGCGGUUGCAGCUUGUCCCCGGCCGCAGUCAGGCAGUCGCCCUGAGGUUCAGAGGAGGCAAGAAGGGCCAGGCGAGUUCCAGGCAGGGUCUUGAGGGUGCUGCGGCAGAAGACUGAACCCAGAAGUCAGAACAACAAUAACAACAACAAACGUCCUCGCUACCGCCUUUCACCAAGGAGACCUCUGACUAAUUUCCUCAUCCAAUUUCCUUUUCACAUUACUGUUGCCGUUUGUUGCUAAAUGUUAUUAUUACUUGGGAAAGGAAACGGCUAACUAGGAUCCAUCUUUGAGGACAAAAGUGAGCAGUCUCUGCCACCCCUCCCCCUUCCCAAGAAAAACAAACAUCUUGGGGUGGAGAGUGGGGGGUUGCUUUCGAGGAGGGGCGAGGCCCAGGAGAAGCUGAGGGAGGCACACCCCCUGGGUCGCUGAGCUAGACCGCCUGUUUCCAGCUUCUCCCCAGGGGCUCCACAGCCAAGCUCUUAAAGCUAGGCAGGGGGAUGCCCGCCUGCGCUGCCCUUCCUUUUCUCCCCUCCUAGUCCCCGGAUACCUUAAGGAGACCGGGAGUAAAGUGGAUCUGCUUGGGUCUCCCUGUGGACGAGGUUCUUCCUGCAGUCGGACAGAGUCUCUGCGACCAGCUGAGCCGCCCUCCUCAAAGGAGAAACUACUUGUUGGCGUUUUUUCGGGGUUCAGGUGGUUGAUCCGCUUCUCUGGGUGCUGAGGUCGGGGAGACAGUCCCCGCCUGCCGCCCGCCGCGCUCCCUGCCUUCACGCUGCUGCGAUCUGCUGGCUCUCCCAUAGCCACCCUCCGCACCCAGAGUCACCAUCGCGCGGGGCUGGGCGAACCAUGGAGCUCGGGGCGGGUCCAGCUGGCACAGCCCGACCCCGCCGCAGACCUUCGGGUCGGCUGGCUGUGUCUGGAGCGGAGGCUGACCGAAGGACAGGGGGGCUCACCCAGUGGAAAGUGAAGGCUCUCAGCUUAGAUUUGGAUCCACAGAUUUGGUGCUCCCCCCACCCCCGCCCGAAAGCGUCCUCUGCUAGAGCUGUUCUUCACCACCGCUUGCCUGAGCACACAGCUACAGUGGGUGGGUGGGUCUGGGGAAUCUAGGAUAAGCAGCACCGUCCUCCGCCCUCUCUGGAGCCCUACCUGCACUCUUUAAGCACAGAUCUCCAGA
rnacentral:lncRNA from 1 species